ACCUAUUCAAGACUUCACUGCAAACAAUUGAAUCAAUCACCACUUCCAUUCAUGAGGCCAGCAACUGUACAAGACUUUUCCCUGUCUGAAAUGAACUCCCUGAGCCAGUGCAUGACAUAGGGCAGGUUUCAACAACAGAUAUCAAAUUGUUGGCAAGUUGAGGUAUUGCUGUUACUUCUACAGUGUGGCUCGCUUGUGACUUAAUGUAAGAACCUCUUAUAUUUAACUUAUUUUGUUGGAUGAGCUCUAACAGCAUACACUUGAGGCAAUGAGGUUGCUAUGUACAAAUGCACAAACACUAUUGCUGCAAAUACAAACACUCUGGACAUGAGCAUAUUCAGAAAUUCUUUUCAUUCUUUGAGAUGCAAGUGCCCCAUGUGGAACACACAUGCGUUGUGCUGCAGGUCCUGGGAAUUACCAUGGACCACCUCUUUCAUAUUUAAAACAUAAUUCUCUGACCAUUGAGAAUGUGAACCCGUUUCUUCGGCAGCUACUUUUUGCUUUGGACUUUCUUCACACGCAGGCGGGGAUAAUACAUACAGGAGGA
rnacentral:sRNA from 2 species